rnacentral:rRNA from 1 species
AUUGAACGCUGGCGGCAUGCCUUACACAUGCAAGUCGAACGGUAACAGGUCUUCGGAUGCUGACGAGUGGCGAACGGGUGAGUAAUACAUCGGAACGUGCCUAGUAGUGGGGGAUAACUACUCGAAAGAGUGGCUAAUACCGCAUGAGAUCUACGGAUGAAAGCAGGGGAUCGCAAGACCUUGUGCUACUAGCGCGGCCGAUGGCAGAUUAGGUAGUUGGUGGGAUAAAAGCUUACCAAGCCGACGAUCUGUAGCUGGUCUGAGAGGACGAUCAGCCACACUGGGACUGAGACACGGCCCAGACUCCUACGGGAGGCAGCAGUGGGGAAUUUUGGACAAUGGGCGAAAGCCUGAUCCAGCAAUGCCGCGUGCUGGAUGAAGGCCUUCGGGUUGUAAACUGCUUUUGUACGGAACGAAAAGCCCUGGGUUAAUACCCUGGGGUCAUGACGGUACCGUAAGAAUAAGCACCGGCUAACUACGUGCCAGCCGCCGCCGUAA